ACUGAUAAUCUAACAGUGGAGAUAAUAAAUAAACAACUAUGUACAAUAAUAAAUAGGAAUUUAUUCACCAAGAGAAGGCAGUAGAAUUAAGAUGAGUUGGGAAAGACUUCCCAUAGAGAAUGGAAUUUUAGAUAACACUUGAAAGAAGCCAGGGAUGGAAGCUCCAUGAAACAGAUAAGGAAGGAGCAUGUUCUAGGCAAGGAGGACAGCCAGAGAGAAUGUCCAGAACCAAGAGAUAAAAGGGAUUGUUCAUUAAACAGCCAGGAGAACGGUAUCAUGGAUUAAAGAGGACAUGGAGGAAGCAAGGAAUAAGAAGACUGGAAAGUUAAAAGGAUAGGUUUUGAAGGGGGUUGAAUGCCACACAGACUAUUGUGUGUUUACUUCUAGAGGUUUCACAGAAGUUUCUUUUAGGAGGAAUAGGUGAGACUUUCAUGAUAUAGUCAGACUUACAUUUUAGGAACUUUGACAGCUGAAUGGAGAAUGCUUUGAAAUAGGGAGAGACUAGUGGCAGGCAGACCUGCCAGCAGCUAUUGGAGUCCUCCAGGAAUGAUGUGAUGAGGUCCUCUACUAAGGUAAUAGCAGAAUCAGAGAGGAAAGGGAUGCUAAUUUGAGAGAUGCUACAAAGUAAAAUAGACACACUUUGGAAUACCUUGGAUAUGGAGGGGGUAAGAGACUAUGAGCUAUCUAGGAUAAUACCUUGGGCUGAAGAGGCAGAUUUGAGAAUUAUCUAGGAGAUUAAUAAUUAAAUUCAUGGGAGCUGAUGGGAUCAUCAAGUGAAGUAGUAUAGAGGAAGAAGAAAAGAAGAUCAAGAAGGACACUGUUGGUUAGAGGGAAUGAUCUGGAUGAGGAUCCAGCAAAGAGGACUGAGAAGGAAUGAUCUCAAAGCUAGAUGGCAUGGUGGAUAGAGCAAUGGACCUGGAAUCAGGAAGAUCUGAAUUUGAAUUCAGCCUCAGACUCCAUGUAAAUUGUGAUUCCAGUAGAGGGUGGGGAAAAAGAAGAUGUACGGAGAUAAUUUGGAGAUAAAAAUAAAAGUGAUUUUUUUUUUAAAGAAAAAGAAGAAAUAAGAAGAUAUCUAGAAGCUAGCAUUUGUGUUGAUGGACUCUUACCUGAAUUUCUUCCACAACACUGACAAAGACCCUUGGAAAGUCCAUUUGCCAUCACCACCACCCUUUUUUAAUGUUUGAUACAAUAAUUAGAGGAUCAAUGAACAAGUUAGUGUCUGUUCCUUUUCCAAAACUGUUAAGUGACCUAGUAGUUAGUUUGGACUUGGAAUCAAGAAGGUCUGAGUUCACAUCCUACUUCAGACACUUACUAGCUGUGUAGUUCUGAGCUUCUCUCAGACUCAGUUUCCUCAUCUAUAAAUUGGAGACAAUAAUAGCAUCUAUCUUACAAAAUUGUUAAAAGAAUCAAAUGAGAUUAUAUUAUAUAAAAUACUCUGUAAGCCUUAAAGUGCUAUAUAAAUGUUAACUAUUAUUAUCAUUUUUAUUUCAACGUAUCUUGUAUAAUUUUAAUAUCUAUUUGGGAAACACGUUCAAGGCAGAGGUUCUUAAUCUGGGUAGGUGAAUUUGUUUUUCAAAGAAUAUUUUGGUAAAUCUAUUUCAAUAUAAUUGCCUUCCUUUGUAAUUCUAUGCAUUUUAUGUUAUGCAUCCAUAAUAUUAUUUGGAGAAGAGAACCAUAAUCUUCAACAAACUGCCAAAGGGGACCAAGACACAUACAAAAUAGUUAAAAAGCCUUCUCUAAGGUGAUAUUAAUUGAUGAUGCUAAUAGAAUUUUAAAAAUAUAACCAACUAAAG